GUCGUCACUUAGACGUUCAAGGUCUCUAUAUCAUAUUUGAUUCAGUCCAUCGACUCUCAUCCUUGAUAAGUGGCUUUGGUGAUAGUUAAGGACGUCGUUGAGUUUUGUGCUAUUGUCGUUUAUGCUAUAAGGUACUCAGGGGAACAUGGGGAAAAAUGCGAAGAGAGAAAACUAAAUGGCUAGAGUUGAAAAUAAGGAGUUUAAAUAAAAUGCUAUUUAAAUUUUAGACAUUUCUAUUUUCGUUAAGACCGUUGUGUGGUUUUAGAUUUUUAAACCUUUGGAGAUAAUGUUUUAUCUGAGUUAAGUUUUAAA